UCCUACGGGACGCAGCAGUGGGGGAUAUUGCACAAUGGGGGGAACCCUGAUGCAGCGACGCCGCGUGGGCGAUGGAGUGCUUCGGCAUGUAAAGCCCUAUCAGCAGGGAAGAAAAUGACGGUACCUGACUAAGAAGCCCCGGCUAAAUACGUGCCAGCAGCCGCGGUAAUACGUAUGGGGCAAGCGUUAUCCGGAUUUACUGGGUUUAAAGGGUGCGCAGGCGGCACGGCAAGCCGGCGGUCAAAUCGCGGGGCUCAACCCCGCCCAGCCGUCGGAGCUGCCGGGCUAGAGUGGGCGAGAAGUGC
rnacentral:rRNA from 1 species